CGCACAGAGCGCACAUUUUGCAGCACUAUCUAAAAAUAAGCAUUCACUCUUGUAUAGAGCGAUACAGAAGGCCCACUAAUGCAACCAUCUCCCUUCUUAAUAUGAAAGGCUUUAAGAACUUCCCGUGCUAAUGUGUGGUACGCAGCCACAUGAAGCACAAUGGAACGGCAGGUGUGAACGCACAUAAUUCUUAACCAAUAAUGUGCGUUCCCUUAGGCGGUCAUUAACACUGCGGCCGGUUUGAAAUUCCGUUGAGCUACGGCAUCAUUUUUGCCAAACUGGCUGCUUUCUUCUUUUUUCUUUUUUUAGCUGGUUAUUAUUUCUCCUCUGCUUGGGGCCGCCGUGUGCCCCGAUUACAGCCUCACGUCCCCUAUUUCGAAAGUGCUUAGUUCGUUGUUUUCAGUAGUUGCGAUGCCUAGCAAAUCUGCUCUGCGAAGCAUCAGGUUACACCGGUGUCACACGACUACAGUGUACUCUACACACGACUACUUUUGAUCGCGAUCAAGGCCAAUCCGGAUUGAAAUUCGCCACUGCGAUUGGCUCCCUUGCACAGCGUGCGCAAAGGAUCCAAUCACGACUGAGAAAUACGAUCCGGAUCAAGUUGAUCGCAAUCAAAAGUGCGCCACGUGACACCCGUUUCUGCUUAUGAAAAUGCAAUCAAUAUUUUUUCUUUAUACUGCAGCAGUAGCAAGCAAAUAUUGUAUGGUUAGCACUGUUAGCAGACAGCGAAAGUUGUCUGCUGAUACUCUACAGCUCAUGCAUGCGUUCUGUACAUGCGUGCAUGAAACUUCGUAACCGCGGACAUUCGCGAUGUCCCGAGUAGUAUUUUCAAGUUUCGUGCGGCGGGCUUACAAGUUGGUCUCUUUGCUAUGAGAGCGUUUACUGCUAUAAGAAAUUGCGGAACAUUUCCUUUUAAAGGAAGUGAGUACAUUGUAAGGUGAAUUUGGUCUUUUCUGCCCAUUCCAUGUUUUUAGGCAUUUGUCAAACGAAGCACUUAAAACAAGUGGUGAAAAAAGUUUGUUCACUAUUCUUCAAAAAAAAUUUCCGGAGGCGGAAGACAUACAAGUGAAGGGUAUUUCAGGUGGUUGAGGUGCAAUGUACGAAGUGUACGUCCAGUUGACUGUAUUUAAGAAUCUAUCUAGGGUACAGCAACAUAGGUUGGUUAACGAGGCCUUGAAAGCGGAGAUACAAGACGUGCAUGGGAUCAGAAUCACUACAGCUCUUCCCGGCAAAGAAUAGAGGUGUACAUUUUUUAAGUAGGUUAUGUGUAAUUUUUGUUUGAAGAAAUGCGGUAAAGAUAUUUGUGUACAGCAACACCUGCCAUGUAAUUUUAGAAAAAUAAAUGGCUUCUUCGUCUGUA